CAUGAGUGCGUGUGUGUGUGUGCAUGCGCGCGUGCGCACAUACACACACACACACACACACACAUACAUACACACACACACACACACACACACA
rnacentral:miRNA from 14 species